GAAAACGCACAAAACGUGCAGUCCAUCCAGUCGGUGCCACUGGAAAAGGAACGGGAUUUUUUAGAUUUUGUGCUCCCUUCUUUUGGGCACUACGACGAGGUGCUGAGGAGAAAAAUACAAAUAAAUGGCGCUGUGCGCCGUGCCAUAGUUGACAAGCUCUUUGGCGCAUACAUCAAGAUCGCAUGGAAUCAUGGGUGAUGGCCCUGAGGAACAAGUUCCAACAACACAAGAAAAAAGCUACAAAACUGUUCGGAGGAAAUGCUAAUUCGAAAGAAACGCUGUCUGCCAAAGCAAAUGCAGGCACCAUCUGAAGAAGUGGCAAACAACAAAUUGUGCCGUCUUUUUGACUGCAGCCAUCUUACUACAUAUGGAGAAACCGUUGAGUCCUUGCAAAUUCAUAACGAAAGGCUCCAGAAUAAUGCAGCCUGCCACGAUGAAGCUACAGGAAGGCCAAGGUUGCGGGCAACAGCACUGGACAGGCAUAGGAGCUUCGCAGCCUCACCCUGUCGGAUGCUCUUUUACUGUUUCCAUUUCUUGGAACUGAGGCAUUGGAACAAGCCCUGCUCACACCUUGCCUUGUGGAGAAAGAAGGACUUACUCUACACAUUGACGGGGAGCCCGUUUUGAGUGUGCCAUCACUUCUUGCAGGAAUGGCGUGCCUGUUUGCAUCGUUUUGGGUAUUCCAUGUGGAAUACCCAAAAAAAAGGCACACAAAAUGCUCACAUUCCUUGAGCACGCGUUCCUACAC